rnacentral:rRNA from 1 species
CAGCCGCCACGGUAAUACGUAGGUGGCAAGCGUUGUCCGGAAUUAUUGGGCGUAAAGGGCUCGCAGGCGGUUUCUUAAGUCUGAUGUGAAAGCCCCCGGCUCAACCGGGGAGGGUCAUUGGAAACUGGGAAACUUGAGUGCAGAAGAGGAGAGUGGAAUUCCACGUGUAGCGGUGAAAUGCGUAGAGAUGUGGAGGAACACCAGUGGCGAAGGCGACUCUCUGGUCUGUAACUGACGCUGAGGAGCGAAAGCGUGGGGAGCAAACAGGAUUAGAUACCCCUGUAGUCCCUGUCUCUUAUAU